rnacentral:rRNA from 1 species
CGGGGCCCGGCACAAGCGGAGGAGCAUGUGGUUAAUUUCGAUGAUACGCGAGGAACCUUACCUGGGCGUCGAACGUAAGAUGACUGUAGGUGAAAGACUUACAUCUCUUCGGAGCAUUUUACGUAGGUGCUGCAUGGUUGUCGUCAGCUCGUGCCGUGAGGUGUCGGGUUAAGUCCCAUAACGAGCGCAACCCCUACCUUUAGUUGCCAUCAGGUAAUGCUGGGGACUCUAAAGGAACUGCCUACGCAAGUAGUGAGGAAGGCGGGGAUGACGUCAAAUCAGCACGGCCCUUACGUCCAGGGCUACACACGUGCUACAAUGGCCGAUACAGAGGGCAGCUACCUGGUGACAGGAUGCAAAUCUCCAAAGUCGGUCUCAGUUCGGAUCGGAGUCUGCAACCCGACUCCGUGAAGUUGGAUUCGCUAGUAAUCGCGCAUCAGCCAUGGCGCGGUGAAUACGUUCCCGGGCCUU